CGAGGUGCUUGACACCGGCGCGAGCGGCCCGUCUGGCUCUUCAGCUGUCAUUUGAAAUGUAAAGCGAAUGAAAAUAGAUACGCAGAAACAUCCUCAAUUAGCACCAGAGAUGCGACUGAAGACAUUUUUUUCCUCCUGUUCUUUUUUUUUAUUCAUGAAAGGACGCUGUGUGUUUUUUUCUAAAAGAUCCGGACGCCGAGAGGAGUCAGGAGCAGAGUUGCUUUUAAUCACCAAGGACGGCAGGAGUCGACUUCCUCUGAAAAUUGACCGUAAAGAUGCAGUUGGAAGGCGCUGGCACAGGGCAUCAAAUUAUAAAGACUGAAGGAAAAAGCCUGUCACGGUCCGUAUGUGUGUGCGCAUCAGCGCUUGAGGAGGACAGAUUCGGCCAGCCUCGCGCCCCGCAAUGCAGCCAAAUCCCUAUCUCACCCCAACAGAAGCCGAAGCGUCAACCCUCCUCCAUGUCUGUGGCGUCUGCACCCUCCAGCCUGCGAAGGGGCGGACCACCUCCCCGACACUCACCUCCUCUGCCGCACCUUCUGUCCUCUCUCACCUCAUCGUGUUCUUUCUGCAUCGUCCUCUUGGUCAUCUGUGGGUCCUUUUUUUUGCUGCUUGGUACCCGGGUGCUCUUUCUUUCAUCCAAAAUAGCCAGAAGUCACAGCCAUGAAUCAUGAUAUUUUCCCUUGAAGCACACUAACCAUGGCAUCAAAUCUAUAAGACAUAGGCUAAUAACUACAAAUUUACUCAAGCAUAUUGGUCAUAUCGGAACUGUAAUCUUUGAACUUGCAACGAUAGGAUAUUCUUUUUUUAUGUACGUUAUGUUUUCGCUAUGUUUCCGUAACGUUUUCCCUCAAUUGUUGAGAAAAAUUUGAGAUGAGGUUAAACAAGCAGCGAAAUCCUAAGAGACGUAGGGGUGAUGAACUAGCGGUUAAACAGUUAGUAUUAUGACUGGCCGGCCUAUGUUUCCAAAAGCACAUCUCCAAUGUUAGUACAAUGUUUGUUUGCCUGUAAUCCAAGGGAGAGGCUCUGCGUGCAGGGGCGUAGCAAGCUUUUCAAAAGUGCGGGGGAUGGAUGUGUUUUGUUUGUAAACAAUGAAAACCUUGAACGUAAUGACAGAAAGGUACAAAAGGUAUAACAUACAAGAUAUAAAAAGCUUCCCAUUUAAAUGUGUGAUACUAGUAAAGUAUAAAAACACAUUCGGAACACACAGAAAAUAAGUCAAAACUCUGUUGUGAAAAUACACAACCUUGCUAAUGAAUCAGAAAAACUUUAAUAAUCACAGGGGGGAAGACAGUGGAAAGCUUGAUAGUGACAUUGGUCUGACAGGACUGUGACCGCUAAAGUUUGCUUACUUGCACCUUAAAAAGGGGAGAUAUAAAAAAACGCCCACACAAAGCUUUUUCUCUGGUGGUAUAAAUAAUGUAACAAUUUUCUGUUUUUAAACAUUAAAAUAAUAUACACUUUUCGUUCAUAGUUCUUCAACAGGUACAAUCAAACAUAAUAGGUAAGUAUCCACAAAAGUAUUCAGCUAAACAAAAAAAGCAAUGUUCAAAAUAUCAAAAUCAAUAAACCCAUAAAUACAGUGCUUAACAAGGACAAUUUGUCCCUCCUCCUCGUCAAUUCCCUGCCUUCUUCAUCACAGUUACUUUAUACAUUGCAUGCCACAUAAAUAACCCAAUUUAGCUAUUUCUGAACAAUAUCCCAAUUUCCAAUUAGCAUUAGUCUAAAAACUAAAUAUAAUUCAGAAAACACUCGACAUAUCAACAAAACAUAAACAGAACAUCUCCCCAAACACAUAUCAAGGUUAUUUAAAAACUUUGAAAGCAUAAACACUCAUUCAAAGUCGCUGGAAAAGGAACACGUAAAUAACCAUAACCGUUCCCGCCUCCUCAGCACGAGCUAACCGAUAAAUCUAACACACCAAGAGAGGCGGGACUUAAGGCAGAACAGCCAAUCAUCAUCCGGUCACACUCAAAGCCGGUGUUCUGAUUGAGUGGGAGGGGAGAGGAGAGGAAGCAGCCGCAUCGAGCGCAGACACAGAGCGGACAGAGAAACGCUGGAGUGACUGCUGUAAGGCGUUUUGUAAAAACUGCUGAAAAACUGCAAAAAAAGUGCGGGUGUUUAACCCUUUCACCGGGAAAAGUGUGGGUGUUAAAACACCCACAUCCCCCACGGUUGCGACGCCCCUGUCUGCGUGGUCUCUCUCUUUCGGUUCUGAGAGACGCGAAUGCCUCUGGGAUAUCACAUCCAAGUUCCUCUCCUCUGCAGCUUAACCAUGCGGCAGCCCACAGAACCGCGAGUGGCCUCGGGGCACGGGGAAAGGAUGGGAACUUUUCCCCAGGGCCCAGUGAGAGGCACACACAGCAAAUAAACAACCCACACUCCUCGUGUGUACAAGGCUUGAUAAGGCCCUUAAGGAAGGUCCGCGCAUCUCCCCUAUUCACUCUCUCUUCCCAAAGUCUCCGAAAUACAACAGUACCACCCCCUUAAAAAAGCCUCCCAAGACAGGAGAUCAAAGGAUGCCAGAAUGCGAUCUUCGUCAUCUCUCUCUCUCUCUGCAGCCCACAACACGGUAAAGUUUCUUGUUUUCGGGUUUUUACAAUAAGGAGAGAGUAACAACAAUGAACAAUGUGGGAUCUGUCGCACGCGCUUUUCCCGAAGGAGCCUCAACUCAGACGGGAAAUUUCAUUAGGAGUGGGGGAAGAAUCCGAACAGAUAAACAUUGUUCAAAGCGCCCUGUAAUGCCACAGAAGUGCAUUCCUGCAACUUUGCAGAAAGUUGGACAGUUACUUUACAAAAAGAUUUCGUAAAACGUGCGUGCAAGUUCUUGUUCACUUUCUCUUGGGGUUGACCUAGUUCUUCACAUUUAUUCCA